UCCUGUAACCGUUUGGUUACAAAUUGUUGAUUUUUGUUUUGUAUUUGUUGAUGUUUGUUGGACCCUUCACGUUUCUUGUGCAAAAACAGAAGGAAAAUACCACAGGAGUGAUAGGGUUAAGUACCGCUGUAAAUGUCAUCGUUGCUACCAAUAAUGAAUCAUGGCCGAAGAAUGAUGUAGGGCGAGAUGGCAUGAGUAACAUUGAAGGCUUAUGGAAUGUGGGAAUUCUUUAAAAGGACGGCCAUUGUCCGAUUUCGGCCUCUUUUUAUAUCAGGCGUCCGUGUGCUGUGGAUAAGUGUUCAGUGCAGUGCAGUUAGAACGUGUACGAACCCCCCCCCCCCUCGUCCCUUAGCAGGAGCUAAAUGGAUGCUUGGGUGAUAAUUAGGCUCAGGACCUCUUGUUCUUGUUUUGCCAUUGUUCCGUCCAGCACACGGUUCGGCCCGCGAAGCCGGGAACGGUUUCCGAGCCUAAUCGUAAAAGAUUGUGGAUCCUAAGAGGAUCGUUAUCUCGGGCCACUGGCCCUAAACGAAAAGAAGAUUUCCCCUCUCGGCCGUCCAAGGUGGCCAUGCCACGGCCGGCCGAUUGCGCUUAAGAGGGAAGACGCCUGCCCACCUAGUCCAGCAACGCCCGCUGGCCCGUCAGCAGACCUGCGAACCCUUCCGUACAUCCGCCCGCUUCGCCAUUCCGGCGAGAGUUCCGGCCGCACAGCAGGAUUGAGUCGCUGUGUCGGCCAUUCCACCAACCAACGGCAGCGGUAUGUACCGGUACAAGUAUUAGAACUAGGUCACACUUAACAAAUUAACACUGAAAUUGAAAACACAGAACAACACGCACACGACACAAAUAGGAAUUUUAAUAAAUAUGCUCAAGAAACGUUAAA